rnacentral:rRNA from 1 species
UCCGGGAGUGGCAAGCGUUAUCCGGAAUUAUUGGGCGUAAAGCGUCCGCAGGCGGUUUUGUAAGUCUGUUGUUAAAGCGUGGAGCUUAACUCCAUUUGAGCAAUGGAAACUGCAAGACUAGAGUGUGGUAGGGGCAGAGGGAAUUCCCGGUGUAGCGGUGAAAUGCGUAGAUAUCGGGAAGAACACCAGUGGCGAAGGCGCUCUGCUGGGCCAUAACUGACGCUCAUGGACGAAAGCCAGGGGAGCGAAAGGGAUUAGAUACCCCUGUAGUCCUGGCCGUAAACGAUGAACACUAGGUGUCGGGGGAAUCGACCCCCUCGGUGUCGUAGCCAACGCGUUAAGUGUUCCGCCUGGGGAGUACGCACGCAAGUGUGAAACUCAAAGGAAUUGACGGGGGCCCGCACAAGCGGUGGAGUAUGUGGUUUAAUUCGAUGCAACGCGAAGAACCUUACCAGGGUUUGACAUCCUGCGAAUCUUUUGGAAACAGAAGAGUGCCUUCGGGAACGCAGUGACAGGUGGUGCAUGGCUGUCGUCAGCUCGUGUCGUGAGAUGUUGGGUUAAGUCCCGCAACGAGCGCAACCCACGUCGUUAGUUGCCAGCAUUGAGUUGGGCACUCUAGCGAGACCGCCGGUGAUAAACCGGAGGAAGGUGUGGAUGACGUCAAGUCAUCAUGCCCCUUACAUCCUGGGCUACACACGUACUACAAUGCUACGGACAAAGGGCAGCAAACUCGCGAGAGCUAGCAAAUCCCAUAGACCGUGGCUCAGUUCAGAUCGUAGGCUGCAACUCGCCUACGUGAAGGAGGAAUCGCUAGUAAUCGCAGGUCAGCAUACUGCGGUGAAUACGUUCCCGGGCCU